UUUAAUGGCUGCAGUAAUUUGACUGUACAAAGGUAGCAUAAUAAUUAGUUUUUUAAUUAAAAGCUUGAAUGAAUGGUUGGACGAAAUAAAAUCUGUCUUUAUUUAAUUUAUAUUAGAAUUUAAUUUUUAAAUUAAAAAGUUUAAAUUUUUUUAAAAGACGAGAAGACCCUAUAGAGUUUAAUAAUUUAUUUUAUAUAAUUAAUUUAGAUUUAUUUAUUUUAUAUAAAAUAAUUUAUUUUAUUGGGGUAAUAUAAAGAUUAGAGUAAUUCUUUAUUUUUAAUUUAUUGAUUUAUAUUUUUUUGAGCCAUUAAUAAUGAUUAUUAGUUUAAAUUACCUUAGGGAUAACAGCGUAAUUUUUUUAGAGAGUUCAUAUUGAUAAAAAAGUUUGCGACCUCGAUGUUGGAUUAAAGAUUAAUUUAGGUGCAAAAGUUUAAAUAAUUUGGUCUGUUCGACCAUUAAAUCUUUACAUGAUCUGAGUUCAGACCGGUGUGAGCCAGGUCGGUUUCUAUCUUUAUUUAAUUAAUAUAUUUUAGUACGAAAGGACCAAAUAUUGAUUAUAAUAAUUAAUAUUUGAAUAAUAUUAAGUUAUUUUGGCAGAUUAGUGCAAUGAAUUUAGAAUUCAUAUAUGUAAUUUUAUUACAGGUAAUAUUUGUUUUAUAUUGAUUUAAUUUUUAUGUUUAUUAUUAUAUUUUUAUUAAUUAUUUGUGUAUUAAUUGGAGUAGCUUUUUUAACUUUAUUAGAACGAA
rnacentral:rRNA from 1 species